UACGAAGGUGGCAAGCGUUACUCGGACUUACUAGGCGUAAAGGGCAGGUAGGUGGUCUGAUACGUCUGUUGUGUAAGCUCCUGGCUUAACUGGGAGAGGUCAACGGAUACUGUCAGGCUUGAGUGUAGGAGAGGGUACUGGAAUUCCCGGUGUAGCGGUGAAAUGCGCAGAGAUCUGGAGGAACACCAAUGGCGAAAGCAGGUACCUGGACUAUUACUGACGCUAAGCUGCGAAAGCUAGGGGAGCAAACAGG
rnacentral:rRNA from 1 species